GCUUAGCCAUAAACAAAGACAAUACACACACAAUAUUGUCCGCCAGAGAACUACAAGCGAAAAACUCGAAACUCCAAGGACUUGGCGGUGCUUCACACCAACCUAGAGGAGCCUGUCCUAUAAUCGAUACCCCACGACAAACCUUACCAUCUUUUGCCACUCAGCCUAUAUACCGCCGUCGCCAGCCUACCUUAUGAAAGAAAAACAGUAAGCAAAAUCGUUAACAACAAACACGUCAGGUCAAGGUGUAGCACAUAAGGUGGAAGAGAUGGGCUACAUUUUCUACAACAGAAAAAACGAACGGCACAAUGAAAUACGACCCUGAAGGUGGAUUUAGUAGUAAGAUAAUCAAGAAAAAUUAUCUUAAACCCGCUCUGAAGCGCGCACACACCGC
rnacentral:rRNA from 1 species